AUACGGAGGGUGCAAGCGUUAAUCGGAAUUACUGGGCGUAAAGCGCUCGUAGGCGGCUUGUUAAGUCGGAUGUGAAAGCCCCGGGCUCAACCUGGGAACUGCAUUCGAUACUGGCAGGCUAGAGUAUAGUAGAGGCAAGUGGAAUUCCGGGUGUAGCGGUGAAAUGCGUAGAUAGCCGGAGGAACAUCAGUGGCGAAGGCGACUUGCUGGACUAAUACUGACGCUGAGGAGCGAAAGCGUGGGGAGCAAACGGGAUUAGAAACCCCGGUAGUCC
rnacentral:rRNA from 1 species